UACGUAGGGACCAAGCGUUGUUCGGAUUUACUGGGCGUAAAGGGCGCGUAGGCGGCGUGGUAAGUCACUUGUGAAAUCUCUGAGCUUAACUCAGAACGGCCAAGUGAUACUGCUGUGCUCGAGUGUGGAAGGGGCAAUCGGGAAUUCUUGGUGUAGCGGUGAAAUGCGUAGAGUAAUCAAGAGGAACACCUGAGGUGAAGACG
rnacentral:rRNA from 1 species